CAGAGCCUGAAUCAGUGUGUGUGUUAGUGGAAGCGUCUGGAAAGGCGCGCGAUACAGGGUGACAGCCCCGUACACAAAAAUGCACAUGCUGUGAGCUCGAUGAGUAGGGCGGGACACGUGGUAUCCUGUCUGAAUAUGGGGGGACCAUCCUCCAAGGCUAAAUACUCCUGACUGACCGAUAGUGAACCAGUACCGUGAGGGAAAGGCGAAAAGAACCCCGGCGAGGGGAGUGAAAAAGAACCUGAAACCGUGUACGUACAAGCAGUGGGAGCACGCUUAGGCGUGUGACUGCGUACCUUUUGUAUAAUGGGUCAGCGACUUAUAUUCUGUAGCAAGGUUAACCGAAUAGGGGAGCCGAAGGGAAACCGAGUCUUAACUGGGCGUUAAGUUGCAGGGUAUAGACCCGAAACCCGGUGAUCUAGCCAUGGGCAGGUUGAAGGUUGGGUAACACUAACUGGAGGACCGAACCGACUAAUGUUGAAAAAUUAGCGGAUGACUUGUGGCUGGGGGUGAAAGGCCAAUCAAACCGGGAGAUAGCUGGUUCUCCCCGAAAGCUAUUUAGGUAGCGCCUCGUGAAUUCAUCUCCGGGGGUAGAGCACUGUUUCGGCAAGGGGGUCAUCCCGACUUACCAACCCGAUGCAAACUGCGAAUACCGGAGAAUGUUAUCACGGGAGACACACGGCGGGUGCUAACGUCCGUCGUGAAGAGGGAAACAACCCAGACCGCCAGCUAAGGUCCCAAAGUCAUGGUUAAGUGGGAAACGAUGUGGGAAGGCCCAGACAGCCAGGAUGUUGGCUUAGAAGCAGCCAUCAUUUAAAGAAAGCGUAAUAGCUCACUGGUCGAGUCGGCCUGCGCGGAAGAUGUAACGGGGCUAAACCAUG
rnacentral:rRNA from 1 species